UACGGGAGGGGGCAGGUCUUGUCGGAAUUACUGGGCGUAAAGGGCUCGUAGGCGGCCAACUAAGUCAGACGUGAAAUCCCUCGGCUUAACCGGGGAACUGCGUCUGAUACUGGAUGGCUAGAGGUUGGGAGAGGGAUGCGGAAUUCCAGGUGUAGCGGUGAAAUGCGUAGAUAUCUGGAGGAACACCGGUGGCGAAGGCGGCAUCCUGGACCAAUUCUGACGCUGAGGAGCGAAAGCCAGGGGAGCAAACGGG
rnacentral:rRNA from 1 species